UAGGCGGACGGGGGAGUAAUGUCUGGGAAACGUGCCCGAUGGAGGGGGGUAACUACUGGAAACGGUAGCUAAUACCGCAUAACGUCGCAAGACCAAAGAGGGGGACCUUCGGGCCCCUUGCCAUCGGAUGUGCCCAGAUGGGAUUAGCUAGUAGGUGGGGUAAAGGCUCACCUAGGCGACGAUCCCUAGCUGGUCUGAGAGGAUGACCAGCCACACUGGAACUGAGACACGGUCCAG
rnacentral:rRNA from 1 species